ensembl:piRNA 21ur-4599 ncRNA
UUCUUCAUUGGCUGUGCUUGC